rnacentral:misc_RNA from 1 species
CUAGCUCUAUUAUUGCAAGAGUGCGCUUUACAAUUGACUUAAAAAUGUUUUUUGAUUCAUACAGUUAUCAACCCUUGCCAGAAACUUUGGAGGCAAGAUCAGAUGGACGUGCGGGAUUCGUGAAUCCAAAGAAUUUGGAUCAUGUUAAAUUUCGGGGCAAAAAUAAAGGCCUAUUGGAGCAGGACGAACCCGCAGAAAUUAAAUUUGGAAAGUCCAUCUUGAAAAAUAACAUCAGUCCUGCAUAUAAACAAACAAUGGAUAAGAUUCGGCCAUUUUACGAUAUUACGUGCGAUCGCUUUAACAGUCAGCGAUUGGUUGAAGAUCAGGACGACAAUGAAUUCAAUAAUGACAAUAUGGGUCGUCCAAAUAACACCAGAAUGAACGAAAGGUGCAUAGAAAAUGAGAACACCUUUGGAUAUAAUAUUGGACACACCAUUGGAUAUACCAUUGGUUGUGCCAUUAAAGAUACAAAGAAACUUAAAAAAGCCGGAUCUUUCCUGAAGGCCGUAUGGAAACCAAUCAAAAAAUCAGCACAGAAGUUAUGGAGAGGAAUGAAAAAUGGAGAAACUGAAUACAUUCAGUUUGAUUAAUGAUCUCUUUGUCUCCAUGAUUUUAGUCAAGUUUCCAUCUGCUUGAUAUGGUUCGAGUACAUCUCGGAUUUAAGAAGUCUUAUUUUAAAAUAAACAAAAAAAUUAAAAGAG